rnacentral:rRNA from 1 species
AACCGUGCUAAGGUAGCAUAAUCAUUAGCCUCUUAAUUAGAGGCUCGUAUGAAAGGUGAAACACUUCAUACUCUUUAUUAAAUAAUAUUAUUAAAGUUAAACUAAGAAUAAAAAUGUUCUUAUAAAAUAAAUAGACGAUAAGACCCUUUUGAACUUUACUUUAGUUUAGCUGGGGCAGCUAAAAAAUAAUUAUCUUUUAUUUAUACUUUCCUUA